CAGAAGGAAGGAGAAGUGAGCCUCAUUUAUUGCAGAUCUGAAGAUCAGCUCGCAGACAUUUUUACAAAACCUUUGCCAGCAAACAAGUUUGAACUUCUUAGGCAAAGACUCGGAGUUUGCAGCUCCUAAAAAAUGGAGGAGUGUUAGUUGAUUGUUUUAGGACUGCAACGUGUCUAAGUAUCAGAAAUUAUUUUAUGCUUUCAUUCUGUUUUUAGUUUGUCCUAGUCUUUAGGAAGUGGUUAGUUUGUUGAAACAUGUUGCUGUUCAUGGCACACGUUGCUGUUCAUGGCUUAAUUCUCGGUUUCAGUUAUUUUUUCUGUUUCUAUAUAAUGUAAGCUUGCUGCAUAAUAAAAUUGAAUUCCCA
rnacentral:lncRNA from 1 species